GAAAUGCGAUAAGUAAUGUGAAUUGCAGAAUUCAGUGAAUCAUCGAAUCUUUGAACGCACAUUGCGCCCGCCAGUAUUCUGGCGGGCAUGCCUGUUCGAGCGUCAUUACAACCCUCAGGCCCCCGGGCCUGGCGUUGGGGCUCGGCGGAAGCCCCCUGCGGGCACAACGCCGUCCCCCAAAUACAGUGGCGGUCCCGCCGCAGCUUCCAUUGCGUAGUAGCUAACACCUCGCAACUGGAGAGCGGCGCGGCCACGCCGUAAAACACCCAACUUCUGAAUGUUGACCUCGAAUCAGGUAGGAAUACCCGCUGAACUUAAGC
rnacentral:misc_RNA from 1 species